rnacentral:rRNA from 1 species
AACUUAGGUUUGGGUGGCGGACGGGUGAGUAACGCGUAAAGAACUUGCCUCACAGGUAGGGACAACAUUUGGAAACGAAUGCUAAUACCUAAUAUUAUGAUAAUAGGGCAUCCUAUAAUUAUGAAAGCUAUAAGCGCUGUGAGAGAGCUUUGCGUCCCAUUAGCUAGUUGGAGAGGUAACGGCUCACCAAGGCGAUGAUGGGUAGCCGGCCUGAGAGGGUGAUCGGCCACAAGGGGACUGAGACACGGCCCUUACUCCUACGGGAGGCAGCAGUGGGGAAUAUUGGACAAUGGACCAAGAGUCUGAUCCAGCAAUUCUGUGUGCACGAUGAAGUUUUUCGGAAUGUAAAGUGCUUUCAGUUGGGAAGAAAGAAAUGACGGUACCAACAGAAGAAGUGACGGCUAAAUACGUGCCAGCAGCCGCGGUAAUACGUAUGUCACGAGCGUUAUCCGGAUUUAUUGGGCGUAAAGCGCGUCUAGGUGGUUAUAUAAGUCUGAUGUGAAAAUGCAGGGCUCAACUCUGUAUUGCGUUGGAAACUGUAUAACUAGAGUACUGGAGAGGUAAGCGGAACUACAAGUGUAGAGGUGAAAUUCGUAGAUAUUUGUAGGAAUGCCGAUGGGGAAGCCAGCUUACUGGA